CUGAUAGCUCAGGAAGGAGCUUCUUCAGGUCAAGCUUUGGACCACCAACUGAGAAGAUUCAGGUUUAGAAACUUGGCUCUACUGGAUGUGAUUUCAGGGAUUCCUUGAAAGAGAGGAGGGAGUUUCUUGGAGUUGCUUGAUCCUGAGUUCCUGUUUCUGCUAAAUCAAUUGAGUUUGAAAAUUAUCUUGCCUUGUUCCUCAAAUACUAUCUUUUCCAUAUCGUGGUUGCUUCUGUGGGAACCUAUGCCUUAUGCUUAGGCUAUAUUGUGAUCAUUCAGACAGCAAAAAAUUCCCACUGAUGGAAAAAAAUGGCUUGUGGAGUCAAUGAAGAGGAACAAUGCACAUACUUAAAGAAACUCAUGGUGCCUUCACAUGGGACCAAUAAAUGGCCUUAAUCUGCUUGCUCCAGCAGGCCUGGCAGCUAUGAAAUUAAGUGCUCUGAAAAAAACGAAUCGUCAUUUCUUUAAUCUACAAUUCACCAACUUUGACAAGAGCACAGAGGAAGAGGCUGAUGCAGUCCAUUUACCCAACUGCACAUAUACACAGAGAGAUAUUUGGAAUCAUGUUCAACAACUAUCAUCACUGUUCUGGAGUUUUUAAAUUUUAGAAAUGUGUUACAUAUAGAAAGAUGAGAACUUUAAAUGAAUCCAAACCACUACAACUGAUUAUACAUCAAGGAAGAAAUAAAAUGAGGUAAAAUUAUACUAGCUAACUUGAC
rnacentral:lncRNA from 1 species